rnacentral:RNase_P_RNA from 1 species
GUUAGGUAUGUACUUAGCUUAGGCUUUUGGCUUAGGAAAGUCUACCCACUACCAAAAGGAUCACUUAUCCCUGAUAAGUCCGGGCAUACCGGGGGCAACAUCACAGAAACGAGACCCCUUACUCUAAGAAUGACGUGUGCGAAACACUCGGUAACGGGUGUGAGAUAACCUACCGACGUUGGAGUAAGAACGGCUGAAACGGAUAGUCCUGGUCCAGUGCAAGUCAUAUGACGCUUAGUUAAAUGCUAAGAUAGCCCAUCCGAGAGGAACGGAAUCGUUUUAGGGGGCUAACAGAAGGUAGCUUAUGCGUACCCAAC